GACGAACGCUGGCGGCGUGCUUAACACAUGCAAGUCGAACGCUGAACCCGCUUCGGUGGGGGAUGAGUGGCGAACGGGUGAGUAGCACGUGGGCAACCUGCCCCCGGCUCUGGGAUAACUCCAAGAAAUUGGGGCUAAUACCGGAUGUGACCGCUGGCCGCAUGGUCUGGUGGUGGAAAGGGUUUCCGGCUGGGGAUGGGCCCGCGGCCUAUCAGCUUGUUGGUGGGGUAGUGGCCUACCAAGGCGACGACGGGUAGCCGGCCUGAGAGGGUGACCGGCCACACUGGGACUGAGACACGGCCCAGACUCCUACGGGAGGCAGCAGUGGGGAAUAUUGCGCAAUGGGCGGAAGCCUGACGCAGCGACGCCGCGUGGGGGAUGACGGCCUUCGGGUUGUAAACCUCUUUCAGCAGGGAUGAAGCGCAAGUGACGGUACCUGCAGAAGAAGCACCGGCCAACUACGUG
rnacentral:rRNA from 1 species